CUUCGAAGCGCAGUGGCUCUGCACCAGGCCAGCAAGCAGCUGAGAGAUUGUUCAUGGUUCAUGGCCAGGCUGCCCAAAGACCUGAUCUUAACAGGAUUUCUGAGUGUGUUGCACUCAGACUCUACAAAGAGUUCCGGGAAGCCAGAAAUAGGCCAAAGGACAACAAAGGGAAAACAUUUGCAAUACCUCAGUCAAUUGUCAUGACUUACAGUCAUAUCAAACAGCUAAUAGAGGACUGCAAAGACAUACUGGACAACACCAACAUUUUACUUGUGACUAUAAACAACACCACAGUGUCCUCCUGGCUGCAGGAUCGGCAGAAGAGAACCCG